rnacentral:lncRNA from 12 species
CAGCACUUCACCAAAGCAUGAGACCAAAACGGAACUGUUCGUAGCUGUCCGUGUGCUGUCUGCUUUUGUUUACACUCUGCACGUGUGACCAGGGACAGUGUGAACACAGUAGACCGUAAAGCAGUACUGGCUUUGUAAAGUUCUCCUGACAGCUCUAUCGUGGGUCUGUAGAACACCUUCCCCUAUCUCCCCUGUGGAUUUAAUCGAAUUGCAGGAAUUCCCUCACAUCCUCUCUGCUUGCGCUGUGUGUGUGUGUGUGUAUGUGCUCCUGUGUCGGUAUAUUAUGAAGAUCUCAUCAUAAGGAGCCGGGCAUCAUGAGGAUCUACCGGUGCAGGGAGAAUUGGUGCCUCAUGAGCAGACUGUGCGCUUUUGCGCUGCUGAUAGUGGCACUGACAGCUGACAUCUCCACUCAUCAUUCACCCGAUGGAUUCAGGUCUGCCCCAGCAGUCAUGUGGAUCACCUCUCUAUGGCCUUUGCCUCCAUGACCAAUCCAUUCUCCAUGAGGGGUCUGGUUUUACCUACUGGAGAGUAACACACUAACACACAUAAGCCAAUCGUCCAAAUUUAGAGGAUGAUCAAAUAUUUAUUGUGGAUUAAUGUAAGGCAGAUGCAUUCACUCUUAUGUUCAUCUCAACUUUUGGUGCUAUAGUAUAAGGAGCUGUACUGAGACCACUUUCACUAUUUCUGAGUUUCUGAAACCCCUGUUGUUCUCUGCAUUGAUCCAAAACUCAACGCUACACACACACAUGCACACACACACCAAUUCACUGAUUGGCAGAAACACAAACUUAUUGAUUCUGGCUCAGACAAUAGGGAUCAAUUUGUGCAGUCAGGUGGUACAGGUCUAAGCUCUUUACACUCAUUAGUCUUUUGCUGUCAUUGUGUGUGCCAUUUUCUCUAAGUGUGCAAACAUGUCUAAAUGUCGGACAUAUUAGACAGCUAAGCUGUCUUCAAAAUUUAGUUUAUGUAUUUGUGUCUGUGAAUGUAUUGCAUUUGUUUAGAACUAUGUUGUAUGUAUAUUUAUUUGAUGUAUAUUUACAGUUUACAUUGUAGUCUAUUUGAUUCUUCAUUAUGUGAAGAACAUAUGAUGAUUUUUUCUUAAGGCCAAAUGAAAAACAAGCAGCAGUUUUUGUGUUCAUUCUCCAAAUGCAAGUGUCAAUAAAUUAGUGACCAACUGGAUUAAAAAGUGAACAUGUUUACGUGCACAAGAAUAUUGCCAUAUGAGUCCGAAUUUGGUCAUAUUUUGAUUAUUUAUGAAUCAUGCAGAUGUGUUUUUAUUAUCUAAUGUAACAGAUCUAUCUAUCUAUCUAUCUAUCUAUCUAUCUAUCUAUCUAUCUAUCUAUCUAUCUAAUGUCUGUCUGUCUGUCUGUCUGUCUA